CAGUCGCCGCGGUAACACGGAGGGAGCUAGCGUUGUUCGGAAUUACUGGGCGUAAAGCGCGCGUAGGCGGUUACUCAAGUCAGAGGUGAAAGCCCGGGGCUCAACCCCGGAACUGCCUUUGAAACUAGGUGACUAGAAUCUUGGAGAGGUCAGUGGAAUUCCGAGUGUAGAGGUGAAAUUCGUAGAUAUUCGGAAGAACACCAGUGGCGAAGGCGGCUCACUGGACCGGCAUUGACGCUGAGGUGCGAAAGCGUGGGGAGCAAACAGGAUUAGAUACCCCGGUAGUCCCUGUCUCUUAUAC
rnacentral:rRNA from 1 species